rnacentral:rRNA from 1 species
CGACCGGCGCACGGGUGAGUAACACGUGUGCAACCUGGCCGUCACAGGUGGAUAACCGGAAGAAAUUCCGACUAAUACAGCAUAACACUCCUGAGGGACAUCCUUCGGGAGUCAAAGGAGGCAACUCCGGUGACGGAUGGGCAUGCGGCGCAUUAGGUAGUUGGUAGGGUAACGGCCUACCAAGCCGACGAUGCGUAGGGGUUCUGAGAGGAAGGUCCCCCACAUUGGAACUGAGACACGGUCCAAACUCCUACGGGAGGCAGCAG